CGCACAUUGCGCCUGCCAGUAUUCUGGCAGGCAUGCCUGUCCGAGCGUCAUUUCAACCCUCAGAUUCCCUUCGGGGAGCCUGGUGCUGGGGAUCAGCCUGAACCCGCCUCGGCGCGGUCGGCUGUCCCCCAAAUAUAGUGGCGGUCUCGCUGUAGUCCCCUUGCGUAGUAGUUUAACCUCGCACCGGAGCUCGACGUGACCACGCCGUAAAACCCCCAUAUUUUACCAUUGGUUGACCUCGGAUCAGGUAGGAAUACCCGCUGAACUUAA
rnacentral:misc_RNA from 1 species